AGCGAACGUUAGCGGCGGGCCUAACGCAUGCAAGUCGAGCGAGAAAGUGGCUUCGGCCACGAGUAAAGCGGCGGACGGGUGAGUAACACGUAGGUAAUCUUCCCUUGAGCGGGGGACAACGAGCCGAAAGGCUCGCUAAUACCGCAUACGUUUCCAGAGGCCCCGGUCUCUGGAAGGAGAGCUAGGCCGCAAGGUCUGGCACUCGAGGAGGAGCCUGCGUCGCAUCAGCUAGUUGGGGGGGUAACGGCCUACCAAGGCGAAGACGCGUAGCUGGUCUGAGAGGAUGAUAAGCCACACGGGGACUGAGACACGGCCCAGACUCCUACGGGAGGCAGCAGUGGGGAAUAUUGGACAAUGGGCGCAAGCCUGAUCCAGCCACGCCGCGUGAGUGAUGAAGGCCUUCGGGUCGUAAAGCUCUGUGGGGAGGGACGAACCGCUGCACGUUCAUAGCGUGCAGCAUGACGGUACCUCCUUAGCAAGCACCGGCUAACUUCGUGCCAGCAGCCGCCGUAA
rnacentral:rRNA from 1 species